CCUACGGGGGGCAGCAGUGGGGAAUAUUGGACAAUGGGGGGAACCCUGAUCCAGCCAUGCCGCGUGUGUGAAGAAGGCCCUCGGGUUGUAAAGCACUUUCAGUGAGGAAGAACGCCUGGUGGUUAAUACCCAUCAGGAAAGACAUCACUCACAGAAGAAGCACCGGCUAACUCCGUGCCAGCAGCCGCGGUAAUACGGAGGGUGCGAGCGUUAAUCGGAAUUACUGGGCGUAAAGCGCGCGUAGGUGGCUUGAUAAGCCGGUUGUGAAAGCCCCGGGCUCAACCUGGGAACGGCAUCCGGAACUGUCAAGCUAGAGUGCAGGAGAGGAAGGUAGAAUUCCCGGUGUAGCGGUGAAAUGCGUAGAGAUCGGGAGGAAUACCAGUGGCGAAGGCGGCCUUCUGGACUGACACUGACACUGAGGUGCGAAAGCGUGGGUAGCAAACAGGAUUAGAUACCCGGGUAGU
rnacentral:rRNA from 1 species